rfam:Gossypium hirsutum cultivar TM-1 chromosome 5, whole genome shotgun sequence
AAUCCAUGAUAUGGGCAUCAUUGUAUUAUCAUUUUAAAAUGCUCCCAAGCUUCAUGAAAGCUUUCUCCUUCUAACUAUUUUAACGUUGCAAUCUUGCAAUCUCUCUCCUCAGUUG